AAGGUUCGACUCGAGCGAAGCGAGAGAACGUUGCCGCAGGCAACGGCCCGAAGGGCGAGGCGCUUUAGUGCCGAGUAAUCCUUCCCCCACCACCA
rnacentral:sRNA from 1 species